rnacentral:rRNA from 1 species
UACGUAGGCAGCGAGCGUUGUUCGGAAUUACUGGGCGUAAAGAGUGUGUAGGCGGUGCUCUAAGUUCUGUGUGAAAUCUCCCGGCUCAACUGGGAGGGUGCGCCGAAAACUGGAAGGCUAGAGUGCGGGAUGGGUAAGUGGAAUUCCUGGUGUAGCGGUGAAAUGCGUAGAGAUUAGGAAGAACACCAGUGGCGAAGGCGACUUACUGGACUGUAACUGACGCUGAGGCAUGAAAGCGUGGGGAGCAAACAGG